UUGGUGUCACCUCGCCUGAAC
rnacentral:miRNA from 1 species